rnacentral:rRNA from 1 species
AACGAACGUUGGCGGCGUGCUUAACACAUGCAAGUCGAGCGCGGAAUCCUUGCUUCGGCGAGGUAGGUAGAGCGGCGAACGGGUGAGUAACACGUGAGUAACUUGCCUCCUAAGUCUGGGAUAACCACCCGAAAGGGUAGCUAAUACUGGACUAAGACCACAAUGUCCUUGGGGCAAUGUGAGAAAAGGCUUUCGGUCGCUUGGGAGAUAGGCUCGCGUCCCAUUUAGCUAGGUUGGUGAGGUAAUGGCUCACCAAGGCUUCGAUGGGUAGCUGGUUUUAGAGGAUGAUCAGGCCACACUGGAACUGAGACACGGUCCAGACUCCUACGGGAGGCGAGCAGUGGGGAAUCUUGCGCAAUGGGCGAAAGCCUGACGCAGCGAACGCCGCGUGAGUG